rnacentral:rRNA from 1 species
GCAAGUCGAGCGGCAGCGUGAUUGUAGUUUACUACUUUUGACGGCGAGCGGCGGACGGGUGAGUAAUGCCUGGGAACUUGCCCAUUCGAGGGGGACAACCAUUGGAAACGAUGGCUAAUACCGCAUACGCCCUGAGGGGGAAAGGUGGCUCGCAAGAGCUAUCGCGAAUGGAUAGGCCCAGGUGGGAUUAGCUAGUUGGUGAGGUAAUGGCUCACCAAGGCGACGAUCCCUAGCUGGUCUGAGAGGAUGAUC